rnacentral:rRNA from 1 species
AUAAGAGGUAUAGCCUGCCCAGUGACACAUGUUUAACGGCCGCGGUAUCCUAACCGUGCGAAGGUAGCGUAAUCACUUGUUCUUUAAAUGAGGACUAGUAUGAACGGCACCACGAAGGUUAUACUGUCUCCUUUCUCCAAUCAGUAAAACUAAUCUCCCCGUGAAGAAGCGAGGAUAAAUUUAUAAGACGAGAAGACCCUAUGGAGCUUUAAACUAACCAGCAUUUGCUAUAUACAAAUUUUUAACUUUAAGACAAUCUAGCCCUCUGACUGGUAAUUUUCGAUUGGGGUGAUCACGGAACAAAAAAUAACCUCCGUGUCGAAAGGAUAAACCUGAGCAAAAAGCGACAGCUUUCCGCACUAAAAAAUUAACGUUCAUUGACCCAAUAUUUUGAUCAACGAACCAAGUUACCCUAGGGAUAACAGCGCAAUCUACUUCAAGAGUCCCUAUCGACAAGUAGGUUUACGACCUCGAUGUUGGAUCAGGGUACCCCAGUGGUGCAGCCGCUACUAAAGGUUCGUUUGUUCAACGAUUAAUACCCUACGU